AUUGAACGCUGGCGGCAUGCUUUACACAUGCAAGUCGAACGGUAACAGGCCUUCGGGUGCUGACGAGUGGCGUACGGGGGAGUAAUGCAUCGGAACGUGCCCAGAGGUGGGGGAUAACGCAGCGAAAGCUGUGCUAAUACCGCAUGUGAUCUGAGGAUGAAAGCGGGGGACCAGGCAGCAAGGUUUGGCCUCGCGCCUUUGGAGCGGCCGAUGUCAGAUUAGGUAGUUGGUGGGGUAAAGGCCUACCAAGCCGACGAUCUGUAGCUGGUCUGAGAGGAAGACCAGCCACACUGGCACUGAGACACGGCCCAGACUCCUACGGGAGGAAGCAGUGGGGAAUUUUGCGCAAUGGACGAGAGCCUAAUCCAGCACUGCCGCGUGCGGGAAGAAGGCCUUCGGCUUGUAAACCGCUUUUGUACGGAACGAAAAGGCUCUGGCUAAUCCCUGGGGCUGAUGACGGUACCGUAAGAAUAAGCACCGGCUAACUACGUG
rnacentral:rRNA from 1 species